GAUCCUGGCUCAGGAUGAACGCUAGCUACAGGCUUAACACAUGCAAGUCGAGGGGCAGCAUGGUCUUUAGCUUGCUAAGGCCGAUGGCGACCGGCGCACGGGUGAGUAACACGUAUCCAACCUGCCGUCUACUCGUUGGACAGCCUUACUGAAAGGAAGAUUAAUACAAGAUGGCAUCAUGAGUUCACAUGUUCACAAUGAUUAAAGGUAUUCCGGUAGACGACUGGGGUA
rnacentral:rRNA from 1 species